GGGCAAUACUUGAGUGCUGUAGGGGAGACUGGAAUUCCUGGUGUAGCGGUGGAAUGCGCAGAUAUCAGGAGGAACACCGAUGGCGAAGGCAGGUCUCUGGGCAGUAACUGACGCUGAGGAGCGAAAGCAUGGGUAGCGAACAGGAUUAGAUACCCUGGUAGUCCAUGCCGUAAACGGUGGGCGCUAGGUGUAGGGGUCUUCCACGACUUCUGUGCCGUAGCUAACGCAUUAAGCGCCCCGCCUGGGGAGUACGGCCGCAAGGCUAAAACUCAAAGGAAUUGGCGGGGGCCCGCACAAGCGGCGGAGCAUGUGGAUUAAUUCGAUGCAACGCGAAGAACCUUACCUGGGCUUGACAUACACCGGACCGGGCCAGAGAUGGUCCUUCCCUUGUGGCUGGUGUACAGGUGGUGCAUGGUUGUCGUCAGCUCGUGUCGUGAGAUGUUGGGUUAAGUCCCGCAACGAGCGCAACCCUUGUCUUAUGUUGCCAGCACGUGAUGGUGGGGACUCAUGAGAGACUGCCGGGGUCAACUCGGAGGAAGGUGGGGACGACGUCAAAUCAUCAUGCCCCUUAUGUCCAGGGCUUCACACAUGCUACAAUGGUCGGUACAGCGCGUCGCCACACCGUGAGGUGGAGCUAAUCGCUUAAAGCCGGCCUCAGUCCGGAUUGGGGUCUGCAACUCGACCCCAUGAAGUCGGAGUCGCUAGUAAUCGCAGAUCAGCAACGCUGCGGUGAAUACGUUCCCGGGCCUUGUACACACCG
rnacentral:rRNA from 1 species